rnacentral:lncRNA from 1 species
UUCCAGGAUGUGUAAAAUUAUGAGCACAACUGUGGCUCUUCCCUGCUUGUCCAGCGUGAACACCGCGGGCUAAACGCGCCUUCAAGAAAUCGCAUUCAGGGCUUUCUUGGAUGUGUGUCAAAUGUCCGGUGUGUUCAUUUCCGUCCUACCAGGUUCAGGUUUUGGAGUGUUCAAGUUUAUUUAUGAAACGUUCAACCUUUCUGCCACUAACUUCAGUCUCCUGCAUAUAUUAGUCCUACAACACCAGUUGCUGACGCAGACUUCUAUGAGGGUGAACAUCGGAGUAAUAAUUAAGAACAUCAACGUUUUAGAAAAGUGUGAAAAUCAUUGUAAUUAGACAAAAAUAAGCAAAAUAGUAAGCAGUGUUCUAAAUUGCGAUACAUUCUUAAGGAAGUUUCUUUUUGAUCCACCCAUCCAUUUCCUCCUGGUUGUAUCCCUAAUGGGGUCAAGUAGCUACCAGAGCCUAACCUGAUUACUGUUGGGGUACACCCUGUUGCAGGGCAACACAACCACACAUACACACUCAAAGUCACACCAAGCCACAAUUGAGAGUAAUAAAUCAUCCUAUGAAGCAUGUCUUUGGACUGUGGGAGGAAGCUUGAGUGCCUGUAGAAAACCCAUACAUACAGUCUUUGUCUUUUUGACGUAACCCGUUUUCUUACACACACCUCUUUGUCAAACUAAAAUUUCAGUUUGAAUAAAUAAAAAAGCAGAUCUUUCCCAUUGCCAAAAUACUCUGGGUCAUGGAGAGUAAUUGACUGUAACUCUUAUUAUGUUUGUGUCCAUUUGAUAAGUAAAAAUAGAUUAUUUUGUAAAAGGGCCACACUGCAGAUAAAUUAAUAUAUUCUCAUUCAGUAAAAGAUGAAUAGGAAAAAGGUCUAAGCUCCUGCAAUCUACAAUCACUUUGGCUAUUACUAGUUAUCACAAAAAAACAGGAGGAGUUCUAAAUGAAUAGUGUAGAUACUGUUAAACACCCAGAACUUAAAACCAGGAACAUCUAUCAAGCCC